GCUACGCUGUUUGUCAAGUGCAAAUUUCCGCAAGCAACAAUAAUGAUGCACUCUUGACAGCUGUUCAAAACUGCCUCAUAACUACUGUUUGAGACAGCAGCGGGUUCCUUCUAAAAGAGUGUCAACAUCGGAAGUGAGACAAGGAAGUGUGUGUACACCGUGUGCCGUUUUUGUCAAAGUCGGGCUAAACGACAACUACACGGCCCCUUUUUCUCAUGCCGCUCGGAGCGUGGGUGGAGAAUUGUCGUCUUGAACGACGAUAGAGGCACUUCCACAAAACAUCAUCGAAACGCCUCAAAAAGUAAUCUUUACCGCGGAACACGGUGAAGAUCGUCGUCAAGUCGAGAAAAUACGGCACACGUUUCAGAGAACUGGCUGAGGAAGAAACGUGGUCAGGGAGGGUGAAACGCAAGGAGGACUUAAAGAUGAUAAAAGUACGCUAGACUGCGUACGUGGCACAUGGACAUCAGCGAAGGCAAACACUCCUUGCCACCGCGUCAACAACAUCACUGAACAAUCAAGUAUAAAGCUCCAGGCGGAGAAGCUACCCGAUGCGAUUAAGGAAUCAUAGCAGACACCAGCGCUAACACAUCGUGUCCUGGCUGGUCCACCAGAACAAAGUUGGCCUGGCAUCAACAAAUAGCCAUGAAGAGGAGCAACGCAGGAGAGAAAAAAAGAAAGAAAAAAAAAAAAAAAAAUCAACCAAUUCUUCUUUGCUACUGCUUUAAACCAUGCCUAUCUUUCUCCAAAGUCGUGCAUAUCCUGUCACUCGGCCCAUUCGACACAGAUGUAAGCACGAAAACGAGCAUGUGCCCAAUAAAAGCCUCUUUAAGGCACACCAAACUGGUCGUAACAGGCAUGCAUAUGGCACCAGAAUGGAACAUUUACUGCUGGGAAUGAGCGUUUGCAGAACUGAGUUGGGGUGGUGUGAUGGGGGAGUGGAAAUAGCUUGUGCUUUUUGCACAUAUGACACUGCAAGAUAAAUAUCUAUAAAUGCUAGCGGCUCACACAGCAGGUGAAUUAUGUCUGCGUUCCCCCCUAGCCUUCCCCCCGGCUGAGCGUCUGAAUUGAGCGAUGCGCUGGCAGGCAAAGUACAAUUUGGAUUAGCGAAAGCCCAACUGAUAGGUCAGCUUAGCCCAUAAUGGAGCAGCUUAGGCUGUGUCUGCAUGAUUAGAACAUUCUUAGCAGCCUGUUUCCAGAUGUCGCGGCGCAAAACCGCCACCGCCCGUGUCUACCCUGCCUCCGACGGGCAGGUAAAAUGACGCAUCUUUUUCCUGAAAGUAUCCCUGCAAAUGCACUGUCAUGGAGAAGCAGCCAAAUUAUUCAUGCACAGCUUAUUUAGAUGGAGGCCAAAUGGGCGUAUUUUGGCUGUUUUAAUCGUUUCCCGAAUGAAACAGCAAUAACGUGAUCGUUAAUAGGAUUCGUAGCUAUGCAUCUCUACAUAAUCAUACAUCGGAUCUCCAUUGGAGACAAUUUCCAUGAAAAAUACCAAUUAAUUGACCUGAUGCUGGCAUGUACAGUAGUUUCCUUCACAAUUACUACUUUCCUAUUAGGUGGCACUUUGGUAGCAUCUUAUGGCAUAUUAGGGAGUUACCGGAAGUGCACAAAAAUACACCGAUUGCUGCAAAUGGGUAGUUGUUUUUUUUUUUUUUUUUUCAGUAAAUAGCUGAGGUUAGGUUCCAGAGGAGAAAAAAAAGCUGAAUACAUUUGCUAAUGAACUGCAAAGUAGUGGUUCACGAAUUGAAUUACAUCCCGAAUCCGAAAUCAAUCAAUCAUCAUUUUAUACCAAAGGCAAUUCUUGCACAAAAGAUCUCAAAUAGUAAUGAGCAUAAAUUCAACACAUGUACUGUUAAACUUUAAUGUUAGUUAAUGUUACACUUUAGAAUGGCAUUCACUAGCAAUGAAAUUGCAUUUCAUGUAGAAUAUGAUCAAGCACCGUCAAACAAGAGUGCACAGUAUGAAAAAAAUAAAAUAAAAUACAACAACAGGAAAGCAGAUUUAGACAAGGCACAUAAAAUCCAAAAAGGAAGACGAAAAGAAAAACGUGUUGUGUCACAGGUGGUGCAUAUUUUGUUAUGCUUUGUGAAAUCGGUUAUAAUAGCCUUACAUGUUUGAAUGUGGUGUUAGAAUUUUGAUCGAUAUAAUAUUUUAAUUUUGAACAUGACGCCCAUUUAAUUUUGGUUACGUAUGACUGAGUUACUCAGAUACUCAUUUCAAAUGAUGUGAACAUUUUGUUUAACACUGUCUACUGUAUUUUUCAAAUGUUUGUGCAUUAUGUUUGAUACAAACGAUGUUUUGUUUUAUGAAUCUAUAAUUACAGUACAGGGGUCCUUGUUUCAUUUUGUUGACUGUGUAGAUAUCUUUUCUCACGGUGGCGAAAAUAAUGUUUACGUACAUCGGAAAGUGCCGUAGUCGAUCAGUAACCUACGCUAACACAGUAGUAAAGUCACAAUUACAGCAAACGUUAGUGUGAAAAACACUUCUAGGCUGUAAAUAUAAAACAAUCAAAUGUUUGUCGGCAACUGAGGUGCCUUGACGACAUGCUGCUGCAGAAACUAAUUUGUCACCCCGAAACCUCGUACGUUGGGACCAUCGCGAACGAAGGACCUCCUCUACUUACAAUUCCACAUACAUCAACAGAAUCUUUAAUCAGCCUAUCCUCUUUUAAAACACAGUCAAAAUGUGUACAUAUUUUUGUUUGAUACGGACUUUGAUGUGUAGCGUUAUGAAUCAAUUCGAGCGCAAAAUAAACAAUUGCAUAUUCACAUUAAAUAGCCAGCGAUUCGGUGGUUAAUUGAUAUUGCGCCUUUUUUCACGAAAAACAUUUAACAAUUCAGACGAGCGCCUUUGAAUUAAAACUUCCUUCAGCUGUGCUCGUCAAACAAAAAAAGGAAACUCAGGCGAUCCCGUGGCUUCCUCACAGUGCGGCAUAACCCGUGCGCCGGUCGAUUUGCUGGUUAAUAUACAGCAUAUAUAUAUUUUCGUGGCUCCUGUGUGCAAUCUCUUCACCAGCUUCCAAUAUAAAAGUAGCAGUUUAUAACGUUUGGCUGGAGGCAGCAGACAUAGCUUCAUCCAUGCAGAUUACUGGAUAUGACUUUGGGGAGAAAAUGUAGUUAGAGUGCAAAGAGACCUGGGAUUUUUUUGGGCCUGCAUUUAACUGGGUGUCACGCUAUGAACCGCUUUCUCCUAUUGUUGCAAUGUA